rnacentral:rRNA from 1 species
AUGGGGAUGCGGCCUGGGUGGGUUGGCGGCCUGGUGGAGGAGACCUUCUUCGUGGCGUGCUCGGCGCACGAGAGCCGCAAGAAGAACGAGAAGAACAUCUUCUGCCUCGCCUGCCGCACCAGCAUCUGCCCGCACUGCGCCCCCGCCCACCGCCACCACCCGCUCAUCCAGGUGCGGAGGUACGUGUACAACGACGUGGUGCGCCUGGACGAUCUUGAGAGGCUCAUCGACUGCUCCUUUGUUCAGCCCUACACCAUCAACAGCGCAAAGGUGAUAUUUCUCAAACCCAGGCCUCAGUCCAGGCCUUUCAAGGGCUCCGGCAACGUCUGCUUGACCUGCGACAGGAUCCUCCAGGAGCCCUUCCACUUCUGCUGCCUCUCUUGCAAGGUGGAUCAUGUCAUGAUGCAGGGCGGCGACCUGUCCAACAUCCUCUACAUGUCCGGUGAGCCCGACGUCGCCUGCUUCCCGAGGUUCGAGAACCUCCGCGUCGGCAGCGGGUCGGCGGACAUCCUGGACGACGGGUGCGCCACCGGCGGGCAGAUCACCCCGAACUCCAUCCUCGAGGACCCGAUGCACCACUACGGCGGCUCCAGCUACCGCAGCGGCGGUAGCAGCCGGAACGCGCGCGGCUUCGACGCGGCAGCCAGCGUCGACGUCCCCAUCCCCGUCCCGAGGAAGAAGAAGUCGGGGGGCUUCUUCCCCCAGAUCGUCAUGUCCCUCAACAACAGGAGGAAGGGGGCGCCCCACAGGUCUCCGUUCGCCUGA